AUGCCUUUCUCGGACUUUUGGCUAAGAUCAAGUGUAGUACCUGUUCUUAUCAGUUUAAUAUCUAAUAUGUGAGUCAUUAACUCAUACGAUAUUAACUUAAUUUUUUAAGGGAGAGUCCACUAAGAUAGCUUGCUAUCUGGGCUCUCAAGUGUCGCCCAAACGUUACACUACUGCAAGGGCCUGGGCACCCCAC
ncrna:Nicotiana tabacum cultivar TN90 Ntab-TN90_scaffold1912, whole genome shotgun sequence